rnacentral:tRNA from 1 species
GAGGGUAUAGCUCAGUGGUAGAGUGCAUGCCUAGCAUGUACGGGGUCCUAGGUUCAAUCUCCAGUGUCUCCA